AUGAGGGAACAUGAGUUUUCCAUUGUUAGCACGUCUGUAAAUAAGAGCUAGCAAAUGCAUCUUUACAUCUUGGAAAGCGUAUUUACUCUCAUCUGAAGCUGCAUCUCAUAUUUGACCGUUGGCGGGGACCAGAGCAAAGGCGCAAGAAGCUCCUUCACUAGCGAGAAACUGGCCAACUCUCCACCAACUGUGGCCUUGCCUGUCCCGAGACUGAGGAUGUUGGCUGCUUUAGAAGGGUUGUGUCCACCGCUGCCUAUAACGGAAGUGCGUGAAUUGUCCUCAGCUUCCUCAUCUGUAAAAUGGGGUUACGAAGCCUCCUGCAGAGGGUUGUGAAAUUGCAGGUUAGGGGAUUCCUGGAUGGCGCAGCGGUUUGGCGCCUGCCUUUGGCCCAG